UACGGAGGGUGCGAACGUUAAUCGGAAUCACUGGGCGUAAAGCGCGCGUAGGCGGUCUGUUAAGUGGGAUGUGAAAUCCCCGGGCUUAACCUGGGAAUUGCAUUUCAAACUGGCCGACUAGAGUACGGUAGAGGGAGGUAGAAUUUCCUGUGUAGCGGUGAAAUGCGUAGAUAUAGGAAGGAAUACCAGUGGCGAAGGCGGCCUCCUGGAUCGAUACUGACGCUGAGGCGCGAAAGCG
rnacentral:rRNA from 1 species